rnacentral:rRNA from 1 species
GACGAACGCUGGCGGCGUGCCUAAUACAUGCAAGUCGAACGCUUCUUUCCUCCCGAGUGCUUGCACUCAAUUGGAAAGAGGAGUGGCGGACGGGUGAGUAACACGUGGGUAACCUACCCAUCAGAGGGGGAUAACACUUGGAAACAGGUGCUAAUACCGCAUAACAGUUUAUGCCGCAUGGCAUAAGAGUGAAAGGCGCUUUCGGGUGUCGUUGAUGGAUGGACCCGCGGUGCAUUAGCUAGUUGGUGAGGUAACGGCUCACCAAGGCCACGAUGCAUAGCCGACCUGAGAGGGUGAUCGGCCACACUGGGACUGAGACACGGCCCAGACUCCUACGGGAGGCAGCAGUAGGGAAUCUUCGGCAAUGGACGAAAGUCUGACCGAGCAACGCCGCGUGAGUGAAGAAGGUUUGCGGAUCGUAAAACUCUGUUGUUAGAGAAGAACAAGGACGUUAGUAACUGAACGUCCCCUGACGGUAUCUAACCAGAAAGCCACGGCUAACUACGU